rnacentral:rRNA from 1 species
UACGUAGGGGGCUAGCGUUGUCCGGAAUCAUUGGGCGUAAAGAGCGUGUAGGCGGUCCGGUAAGUCGGCUGUGAAAGUCCAGGGCUCAACCCUGGGAUGCCGGUCGAUACUGCCGGACUAGAGUUCGGAAGAGGCGAGUGGAAUUCCCGGUGUAGCGGUGAAAUGCGCAGAUAUCGGGAGGAACACCUAUGGCGAAGGCAGCUCGCUGGGACGUUACUGACGCUGAGAACGCGAAAGCGUGGGGAGCAAACAGG